GAUGAACGCUGGCGGCGUGCCUAAUACAUGCAAGUCGAGCGACCAGACGAUGAGCUUUUUCCUCUGCCGUUAGCGGCUGACGGGCGAGUAACACGUGCAUCACCUUCUUCUAUUACUGGGAUAACUUCGUGAAACCGCAUCCACUACUGCCUCAUAUGUUCAACCGCUUGGAUCAAUAGUUCUUCACGCCUUUCCCGUCUGUAUUAGCUGGUUCCGGGCCGCAUUAGCUAGUUGGUAAGGUAACGGCUUACCAAGGCUACGAUGCGUAGCCGACCUGAGAGGGUGAUCGGCCACACUGGAACUGAGACACGGUCCAGACUCCUACGGGAGGCAGCAGUGGGGAAUAUUCGGCAAUGGGCGAAAGCCUGACGGAGCAACGCCGCGUGAGUGAAGAAGGUCUUCGGAUCGUAAAGCUCUGUUAUUGGGGAAGAAAAAAUGUGGAAGUAAAUAUGGACGUCUUGACGGUACCUAAUCAGAAAGCACCGGCUAACUACGUG
rnacentral:rRNA from 1 species